UAGGAGGCGGGUUUCUUGCCAAUUACAUUUCUGAGAAACUGGUUGGCUACUUGGGCGGAGUUCUAUUCUUAAUAUUUGCUGUUGCUACUUUGUUUGGAGUCUUUUAACCAAGCUCUACAGAAAAGAAGACAAUGUCGAUAAGUUCUAAGACGCCUAUUUAGACUGGAUAGAUACGCGAGAAAUGCCAAUGGUAGAGGGCAAGAAACUCCUGAUGGUACCAUGGAUCAGUAACAUGAUUUGGCAUAAAACAAUGACAUUCUUGUACUACUGUAGAAGAAGUAGAAGAAACUAUAUUAGUGGUUCUUAGGCAACACAAGAGAGCUGUGUGUAUGUGUAAUACUAUGGCCCCCAUCAGAAAAUUUUUCUGACAGUUGAUGCUUUUCCAUGAUUGUUGUACAAGUUUUGUAUAUGUGAAAGAAUCAAGAUUUCUGUUCUCUCUGUUGUAAUAAGUUGAUCGAGUUGUUUGAACAGGUAAUCUCUUG
rnacentral:misc_RNA from 1 species